rnacentral:rRNA from 1 species
GACGAACGCUGGCGGCGUGCUUAACACAUGCAAGUCGAACGGUAAGGCCCUGUACUUGUGCCGUGCGCGUGUGGCGCGCGCGUGAGAAUCACGUGAGUUGCCUGCCCCUGUGUGUGGGGUACCUUAAUUAGAAUCGAAUUCCUACCCGGCAUAAGCACUUGCUGCAUAGUGGUGGAUGGUGAUUGACGGAGGUGUGGGAUGCACUCGCGAUUUAUCAGCUUGUUGGUGGGUUGGUGACCUACCGAUGCAAGGACGGGUGGCCGGCCUGGGAGGGUGACCGGCCACAAUGGGACUGAGAUACGGGCCGUACUCCUACGGGAGGCAGCAGUGGGGAAUAUAGCACAAUGGGCGGAAGCCGGAUGCAGCGACGCCGCGUGGUGGAUGACGGCCGUCGGGUUGUAAACCCCUUUCGCCUGAGACGAAGCGUAAGUGACGGUAACUGCACAAGAAGCACCGGCUAACUACGUG